GACGAACGCUGGCGGCGCGCUUAACACAUGCAAGUCGAGCGAGAACCGGGACUUCGGUCCUGGGGACAGCGGCGAACGGGUGAGUAACACGUGGAUAACCUGCCCUCGGCACCGGGAUAGCCCGAGGAAACUCGGAUUAAUACCGGAUAGCCCUUCCGACUUUCGAGUCGGUCCGAAAAGGUAGCUUCGGCCUCUGGCCGAGGAUGGGUCCGCGGCGGAUUAGCUUGUUGGUGGGGUAACGGCCUACCAAGGCAUCGAUCCGUAGCUGGUCUGAGAGGACGAUCAGCCACACUGGGACUGAGACACGGCCCAGACUCCUACGGGAGGCAGCAGUGGGGAAUCUUGCGCAAUGGGCGAAAGCCUGACGCAGCGACGCCGCGUGAGGGAAGAAGGCCUCGGUUG
rnacentral:rRNA from 1 species